GCUCAACCCGUUUCACGAAUUCCUCGUUUUGUCAACGGAAACUUCCUUCAACUUUGCGGGGCAAGCGGUGGGUGAAUAAUGCGCAGUACAAAUUGCGCACAAAGACGCACAUACAUGUCAACACUUUUUGCCUCUUGUUACGGAAAGGAGGUAAUUAUGGUCAAUUUAUUGUUUGUGCGCCUUCAAUCAAACCAACAGACAAAUUAACAACGACUACCAUGCAGAAUUGUUUGAACAGCCAACCAUUGACUGGCACUGUUUGCAAUGCCGAGAGCAAACUGUAGCAAUUGAACCUAUCCAGUAACGGAUCCAAUGGUUGAUCAUUGAUUUCACUGUAAUAUCGCACGAUAAUUUUAUAAUCCCCAAUUUUUGGACACAUGGUUCAGUGGCGG